rnacentral:rRNA from 1 species
UGGGGAAUAUUGCACAAUGGGGGAAACCCUGAUGCAGCGACGCCGCGUGAACGAAGAAGGUAUUCGUAUCGUAAAGUUCUGUCCUAUGGGAAGAUAAUGACAGUACCAUAGAAGAAAGCUCCGGCUAAAUACGUGCCAGCAGCCGCGGUAAUACGUAUGGAGCGAGCGUUGUCCGGAAUUAUUGGGCGUAAAGGGUACGCAGGCGGUUUAAUAAGUCGAAUGUUAAAGAUCGGGGCUCAACCCCGCAAAGCAUUGGAAACUGAUAAACUUGAGUAGUGGAGAGGUAAGUGGAAUUCCUAGUGUAGUGGUGAAAUACGUAGAUAUUAGGAGGAAUACCAGUAGCGAAGGCGACUUUCUGGACACAAACUGACGCUGAGGUACGAAAGCGUGGGGAGCAAACAGG